rnacentral:rRNA from 1 species
CCUACGGGUGGCAGCAGUGGGGAAUAUUGGACAAUGGGCGCAAGCCUGAUCCAGCAAUGCCGCGUGGGUGAAGAAGGCCUUCGGGUUGUAAAGCCCUUUUGUACGGGAAGAAAUCCUGUCGGUUAAUACCCGGCGGGGAUGACGGUACCGUAAGAAUAAGCACCGGCUAACUUCGUGCCAGCAGCCGCGGUAAUACGAAGGGUGCAAGCGUUAAUCGGAAUUACUGGGCGUAAAGCGUGCGUAGGUGGUUCGUUAAGUCUGUCGUGAAAGCCCUGGGCUCAACCUGGGAAUGGCGAUGGAUACUGGCGGGCUAGAGUGUGAUAGAGGAUGGCGGAAUUCCCGGUGUAGCGGUGAAAUGCGUAGAGAUCGGGAGGAACAUCUGUGGCGAAGGCGGCCAUCUGGAUCAACACUGACACUGAGGCACGAAAGCGUGGGGAGCA